UUAAGAGCGCUCCAUAAAGAGCCCUCCAUUAAGAGCGCUCCACUAAGAGCGCUCCAUAAAGAGCUCUCAAGAUUAACUCUCACUUUAAGUUCCCUUUAAUCCAUAUUUCCCUCUCUAAGGCCAUGAUCCUUAAUCCUUUCCAUUCCUUACUUUUUCUUAACGUCCAAUCUUUUCUCUACUUUAACUAUUAUUGACUCUACGAGCCCUCAGGCUAAGACCAAAUGUGAUCUCCAAGCGAGAGCUCGAAGUGAGCUCUCAUUUGAGAAGUCAGAAAGAGUUUGACCUUCGAUAGAAGCGUUUGUUUUCUCAGUUUUCAUACAAAUAAACUUUCUUUGUUUCAACAACUAUUCAUCUUUGUAGUUUGAUCUAUUCAUAUUUCAUUCAUUUCGUACUAUUUCAUUUGUGAUCACUACAAAUUGGCGCAGUCGACAGGAUGGCCAAUCCUUUGAAAAUUAAAUUUACUUUGGUAAGAAGAAAUGAGCAGGUUUUGGUAACAAGAUAUUGUAUAUCCGGAUCUGAUCAAUGGACUCUCGUUAGAGAAGAAUCUCAACCCAUAGCCUUUCAUCAAGCAAUAAGUCAGAUGGAACCAACGCAAAUCGCAAUUCGUGAGAUGACUCGUCAACGGACCAUCACCUUAUUUGUCCCCUCAAUCGAUGCUGAAAUCUACACCAAUGAAACCUACAGUGCUGGAUCCAUUAGUGAUGAAGCUUCUUCCAAUAAUGAGCCUCUCGCAGCGAGCGCUCAAUCUGAACAGAUGGCAAAUAUGUUUCAAGAACUUAUGCGAUUUCAGAUGGAAUCAUUUCGUUCAAUGUUCAGUAAUCUUCAAGAGACUCUGGCUCCCAUGCAAAGAAGCAAGAACCAGAGAAUGGAGGUAACAAAGUUUAACGGCCGGCAGGAAGAUGCCAAGACCUGGCUUAUCAGUUAUGAGAAAGCUUGUGAAUUUAAUGGCUGGAUAACCGACGAUGCUAAAGUCAACAACUUGAAGGCAUAUUUAGAAGGUGUCGCAAUCAAGUGGUUCAACAGCAGAUUGGUGGAAAAUCUUCCUUUUAUAUGGCAACCCUGGAAGGACGCGUUUCUGGAAUCUUUUGGACAGAACCGUCUGACACAAGCACAGUCUGCCCUUCAGUGGGAAUACCGAGGUGGACCUCUAUUGGAAUACUAUUAUGAAAAACAACGAUUGCUUCAGCUUGCUUUUCCUGAGCUAGAAGAUUUCAACUUCAUAACGUUAAUGCUUUUGAGCCUUCCUGAUGAGCUCUCAAAGCAAAUAAACAUUUCGGAAGUGAAUACUAAAGAUGACCUACGGCGAGUACUGUGUCAACUCAAACCAAUGAAAGCCCGUGAUCGUCGACCCUACGAAGAUACCAAAACUAAACCCAAGAGUUCAAGACCAGAAAAGUCUCGAAACGAUACUUCAAAUAUUUACUCAUUCGAUACAAUACCUAAGACUCACACUGCAAGUGAUGACAACGUCUUUAAAAUAAGAAUCAAUGGACAUGAAGCGAGAGCUCUAUUUGACAGUGGUGCCAAGGCUAACAUGAUAUCUGAAAGAUUUGUCCAAGAAAAGCAGUUAAAAGUUGAGGAGCGCUCGUCUCUCGUCAAGGCAUACAAUGGUGAGAUCUCACAUUGUGAUCUAAAAGUGAGCGCUCAGAUUGAGUACUCAAAUCGAGUUAUCGACUUGAGUUUCAUCGUGAACAAAGAUGCAACUUAUGAUGCUAUCUUGUCAAUCUAUGCCCUACAAGAAUUGAAGGUAAAGUGGGACUUCGCAAACAACCAGAUCUGUUGUGCUGUUACCGAUUGCAGUCAAUAUGUGGAGAGCCUCGACCAAGCCAAGAAUUCGUUUCCAAAGCUCUUUGAACCAAGUACAAAAGAGCCCUCGUUACAAGCUGAUUUUAAAUUAUCACCCGACUCUCCAGUCAUCCAAUCCAAGGCAUACCGCUUAUCGCGUGAGAAAUACAUUUGGGCUCAAGGAAAAAUAAAGGAAUUAUUAAGCAUGGGGAUAAUUGUUAACUCGACUUCAGAAUUCGCAUCGCCGUGUGUUAUUGUGCCCAAGGAGAAUGGUCAGUUACGACUAUGUCAAGAUUACCGCGAAAUCAACAAGCAUACAGUUUUGGAUCCAUACCCUUUCCCUAUUAUCGACGAAAUUAUAAACAUGUUUGGUGGUUGUAAAUUCUUCAGCAAAAUCGAUCUAAAGGAUGGUUUUUGGCAAGUAGGAAUUACCAAAGAAACUCGAAAAUUUAGUGCAUUUGUCCUGCCCUUUGGACACUUUGAACUAACUCGUCUUCCUUUUGGAUGGAAGAACUCGCCACCGAUAUUUCAACGCAAGAUGGUUGAAAUUCUUGAUGAACUAUUACAAACUAAUAAAGUUGCCGUUUACAUUGAUGAUAUCUGUGUUGGAGGUGUCACGAUGAGAGAUUGUGCUGAGCUCUCAUUUCGAGUGCUCAAAAAGUUAUCUCAAUUUGGGAUACAAAUCAACGAAAAGAAAAGUGUAUUCUGUUCAGAAAGUAUUAUCUUUCUCGGACGUGUUAUUGAUGGUUUCACCAAAACAACUCGAUCAGAAUCAGUUGAACGAGUUAAGAUGAUGAGGAAGCCAACUGACCUUCACAGUCUCCGUUGUUUUACUGGCCUCACAGGACAUUUCAGAGCUUUCAUACCCAAAUAUGCUGAACUUGUUCGCCCUUUGGAUAGAUUGAAGCAAAAAGACGUGGAGUUCGAAUGGAGCCCUCAAUGUGAGCGCUCAUAUCAAGAGCUCAUUAAGAUAAUCAGUUCAAACCCUAUCUUAGGAGUUCCUGAUUGGAAUCUUCCUUUCGAGCUCUCAUGCGAUGCAUCGUACUAUGGUACUGGAGCAAUUCUUUAUCAACGAGACAAGAAAGAAGUACGCAAUAAACAAUUGCGAGUGAUCGGAUAUUAUUCUUAUACUUUCACUAAGCCAGAACAGAACUACUCAACUACGGAAAAGGAAUGCCUAGCCGUCAUCAAAGCAAUGAAAUAUUUCCGAAGCUACUUGGAAGGCAAGGAAUUCAAAGUGCAUAGUGACCACCAAGCCCUUUCUCAUUUACUUUCACUCAAAGAGCCGAAAAACCGUCUCGGUCGUUGGCAGACAUUCUUGAUGAGUUUUAAUGUUCAAAUCAAUCAUCGGUCCGGUAGGGAGUUAACCGAUGCAGACGCACUUUCAAGACUUUGCCCAGAAAUACCAAUGAUUAAUUUAGUAUUACUAUCGGAUGAAAAGAAACGCAUAGAAGUAAACCAAGACCAAGUGCCUGCCAUUUUACAGUCUUAUCACGAUGACCCGUACUCUGGUGGCCAUGAUGGGAUCUCAAGAACAUACCAUAAAAUUUCAGCUCGUUUUACUUGGCCCAAGAUGAAGGAAGAUAUCACAGACUACAUAAGAACUUGUGACGUUUGCCAACGAGUAAAAUCAAAACUGAAGCAGCAUCAAGACUUUAUGAUCUUGCCUCAGCAUUCAAAAGUCCCUUUCGAAGUCAUGCAUUUAGAUUAUGGCGAAUUGACUAAAAAGAAAGAGGGCUCCGCGAAAACACAUUCCUUUCUCGUUAUGGUCGAUGAAGCGACUAGAUUAUGCCAAGCAGUUCCAAUGAAAGAAGAUGCCUCUUCUUUAGUGCUCUUUUUGAGCGCUCACCCAUCAAUUGAUAAAAUCAAGAGAUUGAUUUCAGACUGUGGAAAAUCUUUCAUUUCUAAAGCAACUAGAGACCUCGCAACUAAGCUGGAUAUCAAAUUGGUAACUACUUCACCAUAUAGCCCAUGGUCUAACGGAAUGGCGGAACGCCACGUUCAAAAGAUAAAAUUAUUUUGCGAAUGUUUUCCUGAUUUCCCUGGAGGUUGGAAAAAGGCCAUUGAAGCAGCAGCAAAACAUAAUAAUCGUGCAUACAAUCGUGCUCUUGGUUGUUCACCAUUUUUUAAAGCUUUUGGAUACACAGACUGGCUACCGGCAGACAAUCACUUUGGAGUAGUUGGUAAUUGCGAAAUAAAAGAAAAACCUUUCAGCGAUGAGCAACAAUUGAAAUACAGAACUAAGAUGCAAGAGUAUCAUAAUAAAGGAAAAACUAGACCAAUGAAAUUUGAGGUCGGUUCAAAAAUCUUAGUAUUUAAAGGAAAAAUUGGAAAAAAGUUCAAGUUUGAAGGACCAUUUGAAAUCAAGGAUAUCAUUAUCAAGGAUGGACAGCAGAAGACAAUUAUCUACGAUGAAAAUGGACAGAAGAGUUUUGCACACAUAAGGAAUUGCCGUUCAUAUCAUCCCAGGCGGGAUAAUUCCAAGUAACGGGGAAUGUAGAGAGCUUAUUUUUUUCCUUUGCUCUUAACGAGCGCUCCAUAAAGAGCGCUCCAUUAAGAGCGCUCCAUAAAGAGCCCUCCAUUAAGAGCGCUCCACUAAGAGCGCUCCAUAAAGAGCUCUCAAGAUUAACUCUCACUUUAAGUUCCCUUUAAUCCAUAUUUCCCUCUCUAAGGCCAUGAUCCUUAAUCCUUUCCAUUCCUUACUUUUUCUUAACGUCCAAUCUUUUCUCUACUUUAACUAUUAUUGACUCUACGAGCCCUCAGGCUAAGACCAAAUGUGAUCUCCAAGCGAGAGCUCGAAGUGAGCUCUCAUUUGAGAAGUCAGAAAGAGUUUGACCUUCGAUAGAAGCGUUUGUUUUCUCAGUUUUCAUACAAAUAAACUUUCUUUGUUUCAACAACUAUUCAUCUUUGUAGUUUGAUCUAUUCAUAUUUCAUUCAUUUCGUACUAUUUCAUUUGUGAUCACUACAAACUAUUACAAAUAUCAUAACCAGAGAAGCGAGAAGAAUGAUGUUAUUAAAUGUUCUUUUCAUCCAGUUUUUCUCUUGUCGUGUUUCCCUGUUAUCAUUUAAUUCUCACCAUGUAAUCUCUAAUUCCUAAGCCAAUCUUCUUAACCAAAACAACAAUCAACUGAUUUGAUUAAUCAAUUAAUGAGUUUUGUUCAGACAAAAGCCAAGAAAAUUUAUCGAUCGAGAAAAAAAUGAAAAUUCAAUGGAAGUUUCAAUGGAAAAACAAGAUUCUCUUUGAAUAAGAUAAUGAACUUUUUUUUGCACAUUAAUAGCAAGCAAUUAAUUGAACAAAAGAGUUCACUGAAUGUUUGACCAAUGAACGUGAUGAACAAGAUAAUGUUUCGCUUACUUGAUGAAGUUAAUAAAGAUUAGGUUAAUGGAAGGAUUAAGAUGUGAAUCAGAAUAAUAUUGAAUUUCCAGUCGAGGUUGAAGUGAAAGGUUAGAUGAGGUUUGAGUGCAGAUGAAAAUGUUUGUUUAGUGAAGGUAAAGAAGAAGAAGAAGAAAAAAAAGGAAAAAACAAUUUACUCGUGAAUUAUUCUCAUGAUAAACUUGACAAGGUAAUCAACCAUUUAAGCAUAUUUAUUCCUACCUGAAUCAUGAUCAGGUUGUGCAUUUGUUGACUUUUGGUGUUCAUCCCACAUUGCGAUACAAGUUAAUGGACGAAACAUUGGAAAUUGUCAUUUGGAAUUUUUGAUGAAACUCUUUUUUCCAUCGUUCAAUAUAUUGAUGAUAAUCUAAACAAGUGAAUACAUUGAUGUGUGCAACAAACAAACAGUUUUACUUUUCUCACUCCAUUUAAUGUCUUUUAAUGCAAUCAUUUUAACCAGUUUAUCUUCAUCACCAUUACACUGUAAUUCACUCAUCAUAAUGAUGAUCAUGUUUUUUUUGCCAGUGUUUUGUGGAAAAAAAAUGAACACACAAAACAGAAUCAUGAUCGUCAUCAUUUUCUUGUUGAACUUGAUGCUGCUUUUUGCUUUUCUUACAUCAAUGACAAUUGAUUUAACCUUUUUUGUCAAACAGCCUGUUGAUUGAAUCUCAAGAUGCAGCUAAACCUUGUGAAAGCUCAUCAUGACGAUGAUAUGAUCAGCUUUACAACAUACAAUUGUGUGAAGUAAAGAGAGAGAGGGAAAAGUCAUGAAAUCAAUAGUUAAAGUUCAUGGAGUAUUUAUUGAUGAUUGUGUUGAGCUGAAGAGGAGCAAAAAAAGUGUUCAUUAUUUUUGAAAUGAAAUUGAUCAUUUGUUGGAGGAGAGCAAAGUUUUGAUCACUCAUCUUCUUUCAGUAGGUAAACAGAAAAAGAUUGAUGAUGGUUAAGAUGACAAAAAGUCGACUUGAAAACUAAAUAACAAACUGUGAAAUUAAGUUGAAAAUUAUCGAAGAAAAAAAAAUGAAUGAGAAAAAUGUAAUUUGAGAAUUGCCAGAUUUACACCAAUCUUCAAUGCACUCAAUCAUUCAAUGAAAACUCGUUGAACGUUCCAUUUUUUACCAAUCAAGUCGAGUUUGGAAAAGUUUUCUUCGUCAAAUUGGUUCAUUCCAAGCAUUCAAACGUCCGUAAGCAAACCUGAAGCUAAUGAACUAAGCUCAUGAGAUAUGAAACUUCUUUUGGUGUUAAUCUCGAACGAAAUUUUGCUCUUGAAAACUUACAAACGUUAUCAUUCUGAAAUAGUCAUUACUUUAUUAUCGCAAGUGUUAAGUUGAAACAUCAAGUAUUCAUAAGGAAAUCCUUUUCUUUAGUUUCUUUCGUUUGAUGAAAAUGUUUUGUUCGUUUGAAAUUUUUCACUUUUGGCAAAUUGAUGGUUGAAUCCUCGACUUGUUGGAAUUGAAAAAAGGUUGAAAAAGUUGUUUGAUGAGCUCAUUGGAAUGCGAAAAGUUGGAAAGAUGAAAAGCAAAUCGUGAAUGAUAUUGAAAAUUGUUUCAUAUUUAAUCAGGUGAGAAAUGAUGAUUGAGACAAUAAAUUGUUGAUUUAAACUCAUCUGUUAUUGACUCAAUUGCUUUCCGUUUAUUGUUGAAUGCUGUUUUGUUUCACCAACAAUAAAUUAUGAAGUAAAUGAAGUGAAAAGGCAAGAAGAAGAAGAAAAGCAUGAUGAUGAAUUUGAAAUGAAAUUUUUGUCGAUUAACUGAAACAAAAUGAUUAUUUAAUAUUUUAAGCAAACACACAAUUGUUUCUAAUCAACUUUACUUUCAAUAGCCAAAUGGAUAACCUUGAUUAAAGUGACAAGUUGAGAGUGAAAAGUUGAAACGAGAAUAGAAACAGAGAGAAAUGUUAAUGGAACCUGAAAAAUCAUGAUUAUCCAUUGGAAUCACCAAUUAUCAUUGAUUAAACGUGAUUACAAUUGUUUUAAAGUAGAGAAAAAAAAAGUUGUCAAAGAAGAAGAAAAAAAGUGAAUUUUAUUUCGCCUUCUUUCAUUGUUUCCUCACAACGUUAAUCAAAAGCGAAACCAGCAAAAAUCAAUUUUUACGCUCAAACAGAUCAAUCAAUUGAUUUCUCAAUUGAAUUCAUUCUUUGAUCAGAUAAUAUGGGAUUAACACAGAAGAAGAUUAUUCAAUUUUCCAUUAAUCUUGUUGAAGGUUAUUGAAACUUGGAUCAUCAAGAUUUGUGUAAUAAUCAGAGAAAAUGACAAAUGACAAGUUCUGUGGAUGAGCAAGUUCAUUACUUGAUUAUUUCCCUCAUCGGAAUGAUUCUCAUUUUCAUCAUUUACUCAGUGUUAACUUUUCAUUUCCAAUCAUUGGUUACAUGAAGAGAGGAAAGAGAGAAAAAAAGAGAAGAAAAAAAGUUGACCAAAAAUAUUCUCUUCUUCUUUUCGUUUGUUUUUCCCUCUUUUGUCGAUAUUGUUUCAAGAUUCAAUUGUCAUUAUUUACAUUUGUAAUCAUCAAUGAUUCAGUUUUCCCCGAAAAAACUAAAAACCAGUUUAUUUGUCAUUUCCAGAUAAUCAUUGGCUCCAUGGACAUUGAACAUUAUCGUUACCAACCAAGUAACCAACACUUUAUCAAACCGCAAAAAUCCAAUCAACAAUCAAUAUUACCUGAUUAUCCUUAAUUGACAUUUACUUUCGUCAUGUUGAGAUAAUCAACUUUUUUUCCCUUCUCUUCAUAAAUAAUUUAAAUUAUUUUUUCUUUUUUGCUCAUUCGUUUUCUUCUUUAACCUGUUUCACCCAAUUUUCCGUCUCGUUUCUUUUGUUAAAACCUAAACUGUGAUAUCAACUAAUUGUUAACUUGACAUGUCAAAGAGUUGAAAACCCGAUCGAAGCAACAAUUUGAUAAAAAGGUUAUUUUGUUCAUGGGAUUCAUCAGUAUUGAAACGACUCACCAUCAACAUUUUGACCGUUACAACAGUCAACAUCACCAUUAUCAUCUAUUAAGCAAACUGAUUUCUGGAAAAAGUUCAACAAGAAAUCAAUCAACUGUAAAAAUCUCAACGAAUCGGAGAAAAAGUUUACCAACUUAUCAUUACAACUGUUAUUACCAAAGAAACUUUAUCAACAAUAAUAAUCACAAUAGUUGGAGCAACAAAAAAAACUGGAGAUUAAUUGUUGGAGUGGAAAGUGAUAAAAGGCCGGCAACUCGAAAGGUUAUCAAUUAUCAUAUUUUAAAGACACCAACAAAAAUAACCAACCUAGAUG